GCAUCCGGCGUAAAACACAUGCCAGGGUUGGGCCUGGUUAGUACUUGAAUAGGAGUACCUGGGAAUACCAGGUGCUGUAAGCU
rnacentral:rRNA from 1 species